rnacentral:rRNA from 1 species
GUGCCAGCCGCCGCGGUAAUACGGAGGGUGCAAGCGUUGUCCGGAUUUAUUGGGUUUAAAGGGUGCGUAGGCGGCCUUUUAAGUCAGCGGUGAAAGCCCGGGGCUCAACCCCGGAACUGCCGUUGAUACUGGAAGGCUUGAGUACAGACGAGGUAGGCGGAAUUGAAGAUGUAGCGGUGAAAUGCUUAGAUAUCUUCAAGAACACCGAUUGCGUAGGCAGCUUACUAGGCUGUAACUGACGCUGAGGCACGAAAGCGUGGGGAGCGAACAGGAUUAGAAACCCGAGUAGUCC